ensembl:lncRNA
CCUAAAAUGAACAAUUUUAAUCGUAUUUGCAAGAUAAUUUGCAAGGCUCCAGCUAGCAAGUUGGAUAAAGGAUUUAAGAUGUAUUUAUCGACAUACAUAUACGAUAGCAAAGUGAUUUUCAUUAAAUUACGUCUAGUGAAGUUGGUUCGGGGACAACGCUGAAGUCAUGAUCCAGACGAUGAAUCUCAAAUCGCAUACUACUUGGAGUCAUUACUACAAAUCCACACAAGUCAACACAGUGCAAUUUAGCAAAAUGGUACAAUUGCAUUAACUGGGGUCCAGCCAUUGGCAGAUUCUGUACCAACCUACAGGAAGCCACUACAGAAGAUGAAGUCAUUCAAGGAACCCCAAGAGCAAAGCUGGAUGCCUGAGCAAAGACCCCAUGUCCUCUGGCUUCAACCAUAGUUGGCAUGUCAGAAUUCACCCAUACACUGUUGUCUUCAAUAAAAGUUAUUCAAACCAGCUUCUCCACAUUCUCAAUACCA